CUCUGAUGCCACGCCACUUCUCAAUAUCUUUAAACUUGAUGCGCACCGAGUUUGCGUUAUUAGUACAAAUAAACAUAACUGUUUAUAUUAGCUAUUUUACGGUGAGAACGCGAGAGCUACGCCCUGAAGAUCACUGACGUCAUCAUGAUUCAACCGUAUUUUUUUCUGAGUUCCCAGUUGUCUUGGAAGCACAAUAAAUCCAGAGAAUGCCUGAUUUUGAUGACAACAUUUGAUGACAAAACACGCCACCUUCCUGUUCAAGUGAGUACAGCGCAACAAGCUAGUUCCAGUUCCAGAAGUGAAAAGAAGAGCGACCCAGGGAUGUGCGUGCUUGGGGACCUUUAACAGAAUGUGACCGGCAGAACGGGUGUUGUAUGUGGAGGAUGUAUGCUUUUUGGUUCCCGCCAUGAGCCAGUGAACAUUUGGGCCUUUUUAGCUAACUACUCGCUGUUAUUAAUUAUGUAAAAACACAAUAUCAGUCAUGGAAGCACAUGAACAUAUUUUUUUAAAUUAAUUAUUGAGCAAUUCAUUUCAUGAGUGACGGACUGUGAAACUUAAUCUCCCAUGAUUCCGUAGUACCGGAAUUGACACAAACAGACAGUCAUAACAUGUGCUAGGGGGUACAACUAAUGACAGAUUAUACAAAGGCCUUGUUUUAACAGGUUUCUUAAUGGAAGAAUGUAGUAUGGUCUUAAUGUACAGCUCAAACUCCUUAUAGAAAACAAGGAGAGUGUUUUUGUUAUUAGUGAAUUUACAUUUAUGAAUAAUACCUUUUUUUUUCCAUUAGCACAAUUAGAUUUAAGAGGUAAAAUUUGUUUUCUUUGUCCUUAUUGCAGUUGCCCUUAUUAUAGUUAAGGAAACCUAGCAGCAUAUUCUCACAUAAUAAACUAAAGUCAUCAAGAAUAUUAACAAUUAUAAAACUAUAAAUAUCUUGCCACCUUUGCUUUCCAUGUAGACAAUGCCAAAAUAAAUGUAAAACUGUUUCUGUUUGCUCAACACAAAAACUACAGUUAAUAUGCUAUUGUAUUUUUUUGAGUUUCUUCAGAUAAUGAUUUGCAGCGUACGGUAACUGACCGUGUUGUGUUUGUUCUUAGUAUCCGUCAGUGGUUGUGUUGAUACCUCACCCAACUUAAAAUAAGAAAUUACUCUGCAUAUAAUACAUAACAUAUAAUAAACGGAAGAAACUAUUUAGCAUUUUAAUUAGAUCUUCGAUGGUGUAGUUAGUUCAUGUAUUGCCUGUAUGUGACCCAUAGAAAUAUUAAUCAUAUUUCUAUGGGACAAUACAGGCCAUAAAUAAGCUAGCUACGCUGGUGUCUGCACAUGUUAAACUGUAAUUCUCUUUUUGCUGUCUGUAUACCAAUUGUGUACAUGUGAAUAUUCAAAUACACUUCAUAAAAAGUAAUGCCAGCAUUACUCACCUGUGAUUUAAUUAAUUAAAACAGAUCGAUA